GGCGUAGCGGGGGCUACCAUGCAAGUCGACGGAGUUAACAGCAGCACUCAGCAGUCAGUAUGCAGCGAUCAGCAAGGGAGAGAAGAUCUUUUAGCUGGCAGCGAAGGGCUGAAGGCUGAGUGCUGUUGUUAACUUAGUGGCGGACGGGUGAGUAACACGUAGGUAACCUACCUCAAAGCGGGGGACAACUCUUCGAAAGGAGAGCUAAUACCGCAUAAGACUACGGACUGGGAUGUUUGUAGUAAAAGGAGCGAUCCACUUUGAGAGGGGCCUGCGGCCUAUCAGGUAGUUGGUAAGGUAACGGCUUACCAAGCCGAAGACGGGUAGCCGGACUGAGAGGUUGAACGGCCACACUGGAACUGAGACACGGUCCAGACUCCUACGGGAGGCAGCAGUGGGGAAUUUUGCGCAAUGGGGGAAACCCUGACGCAGCGACGCCGCGUGAAGGAUGAAGGUCUUCGGAUUGUAAACUUCUUUUGUCGGGGAAGAUAAUGACGGUACCCGAUGAAUAAGCCACGGCUAACUCUGUGCCAGCAGCCGCGGUAAGACAGAGGUGGCAAGCGUUGUUCGGAAUUACUGGGCUUAAAGGGCGCGUAGGCGUCCCGGUAAGUCAGAUGUGGAAGCUUUCCGCUUAACGGGAAAAUUGCAUCUGAUACUGUCGGGAUUGAGUCAGCGAGGGGAUGGCGGAAUUCCAGGUGUAGCGGUGAAAUGCGUAGAUAUCUGGAGGAAGGCCGGUGGCGAAGGCGGCCAUCUGGCGCUGAACUGACGCUGAGGCGCGAAAGCGUGGGGAGCAAACAGGAUUAGAUACCCUGGUAGUCCACGCCCUAAACGGUGGGUACUAGGUGUAGGGCUCGCAAGGGUUCUGUGCCGUAGGGAAACCAUUAAGUACCCCGCCUGGGGAGUACGGCCGCAAGGUUGAACUCAAAGGAAUUGACGG
rnacentral:rRNA from 1 species